CAGAGAGAUAGAGAGAGAGAGAGAGAGGAAGUAGAAGCCGUUUAGCGAUAUUUCACGGAGCUCUCGUUCGUAAGGGUUUCUAGCCGCGCACGGUAUUACCGGAGCCAGUCUUGCAAACUCGAGAUAAGGGCGGACCCGGUUCCCAGUUCCCGACACCGGCAACCGUCGUAGCUAAGGAGACGAGGUGCAUUCUCGUGCAGGGGGCAGAAGAGGACAGGAGGAUCCUCUAGG